CCCUACGGGGUGCAGCAGGCGCGAAACUUUUACAAUGUACGCAAGUGCGAUAAAGGAACUCCUAGUGCUCAUGCAUAGCAUGGGCUUUUGUCAAGAGUAAAUAUCUUGGCGAAUAAGUGGUGGGUAAGACGGGUGCCAGCCGCCGCGGUAACACCUGCGCCACGAGUGGGGAUCGCGUUUAUUGGGCCUAAAGCGUUCGUAGCCGGAUAAGCAAGUCUUGGGUGAAAUCGUUACGCUUAACAAAACGACGUGCUUGAGAUACUGUUUGUCUUGAGACCGGGAGACGUUAGGAGUAUUCCUGAGGGAGCGGUAAAAUGCUAUAAUCUCGGGAGGACUACCUGUGGCGAAGGCGCCUAACGAGAACGGGUCUGACGGUGAGGAACGAAAGCCAGGGGAGCGAAGCGGAUUAGAUACCCGUGUAGUCCUGGCCGUAAACGCUGCGAGCUAGAUGUUGCAUGUUCUACAUGAAUGUGCAGUAUCGAAAGGAAGCUGUUUAGCUCGCCGCCUGGGAAGUACGGUCGCGAGGCUGAAACUUAAAGGAAUUGGCGGGGGAGCAC
rnacentral:rRNA from 1 species